ensembl:snRNA U6 U6 spliceosomal RNA
CUGAAAUGGCAGCACAUAUACUAAAAUUGAAAUAAUACAGAAAAGAUUAGCAUAAGCCCCUGCACAGGGAUGACAUGUAAAUUUGUGAUGCAUUCCAUAGUUUA